rnacentral:rRNA from 1 species
UACGAAGGGGGCUAGCGUUGUUCGGAAUUACUGGGCGUAAAGCGCGUGUAGGCGGGUCUUUAAGUCAGGGGUGAAAUGCCAAGGCUCAACCUUGGAACUGCCUUUGAUACUGGAGAUCUUGAGUCCGGGAGAGGUGAGUGGAAUUGCGAGUGUAGAGGUGAAAUUCGUAGAUAUUCGCAAGAACACCAGUGGCGAAGGCGGCUCACUGGCCCGGAACUGACGCUGAGACGCGAAAGCGUGGGGAGCAAACAGGG